rnacentral:pre_miRNA from 1 species
AGGGGGAGCGCUAGAUCUUGGGCCGUGUCCCCCGUUGCUCUGGGCUCCGGGGCCUGCACUGCUGGAAUCCCGCUCCCGUGUGGCACAGCCCCCU